rnacentral:rRNA from 1 species
GAUGAACGCUGGCGGCGUGCUUAACACAUGCCAGUCGAACGGAAAGGCCCUGCUUGCAGGGUACUCGAGUGGCGAACGGGUGAGUAACACGUGGGUGAUCUGCCCUGCACUUCGGGAUAAGCCUGGGAAACUGGGUCUAAUACCGGAUAGGAGCCAUUUUUAGUGUGAUGGUUGGACAGUUUUUUCGGUGUAGGAUGAGCUCGCGGCCUAUCAGCUUGUUGGUGGGGUAAUGGCCUACCAAGGCGGCGACGGGUAGCCGGCCUGAGAGGGUGGACGGCCACAUUGGGACUGAGAUACGGCCCAGACUCCUACGGGAGGCAGCAGUGGGGAAUAUUGCACAAUGGGCGCAAGCCUGAUGCAGCGACGCCGCGUGGGGGAUGACGGCCUUCGGGUUGUAAACUCCUUUCGCUAGGGACGAAGCUUUUUGUGACGGUACCUAGAGAAGAAGCACCGGCUAACUACGUG